rnacentral:rRNA from 1 species
AACGAACGCUGGCGGCAUGCCUAACACAUGCAAGGCGAACGAGACCUUCGGGUCUAGUGGCGCACGGGUGCGUAACGCGUGGGAACCUGCCCUUAGGUUCGGAAUAACUCCCCGAAAGGGGUGCUAAUACCGGAUAAUGUCUUCGGACCAAAGAUUUAUCGCCUUUGGAUGGGCCCGCGUUGGAUUAGCUAGUUGGUAGGGUAAAAGCCUACCAAGGCGACGAUCCAUAGCUGGUCUGAGAGGAUGAUCAGCCACACUGGGACUGAGACACGGCCCAGACUCCUACGGGAGGCAGCAGAGGGGAAUAUUGGACAAUGGGCGAAAGCCUGAUCCAGCAAGGCCGCGUGAGUGAUGAAGGCCUUAGGGUUGUAAAGCUCUUUUACCCGGGAUGAUAAUGACAGUACCGGGAGAAUAAGCUCCGGCUAACUCCGUG